rnacentral:rRNA from 1 species
UACGUAGGGUGCAAGCGUUGUCCGGAAUUAUUGGGCGUAAAGAGCUCGUAGGCGGUCUGUCGCGUCGGCUGUGAAAACCCGGAGCUCAACUCCGGGCCUGCAGUCGAUACGGGCAGACUGGAGUUCGGCAGGGGAGACUGGAAUUCCUGGUGUAGCGGUGAAAUGCGCAGAUAUCAGGAGGAACACCGGUGGCGAAGGCGGUUCUCUGGGAAUAUCCUGACGCUGAGGAGCGAAAGUGUGGGGAGCGAACAGG